rnacentral:rRNA from 1 species
AGGACGAACGCUGGCGGCGUGCUUAAUACAUGCAAGUCAACUUGACUUUAGAUAGCAAUAUCGAAAAGUAGGGUGGCGCACGGGUGCGUAACGCGUAGGUAAUCUGCCCUGAGGUCUGACAUAACCCGUCGAAAGGCGGGCUAACAUCAGAUGAUAUAUAAUCACGACAUCGUGGAAAUAUCAAAUCUUCGGAGCCUUGGGAUGAGCCUGCGUCUGAUUAGGUAGUUGGCGGGGUAAUAGCCCACCAAGCCUACGAUCAGUAGCUGGUCUGAGAGGAUGAUCAGCCACACUGGAACUGAGACACGGUCCAGACUCCUACGGGAGGCAGCAGUAAGGAAUAUUGCUCAAUGGGGGGAAACCCUGAAGCAGCAACGCCGCGUGAAGGAUGAAAUACUUUUGUAUGUAAACUUCUGUAAGAUGGGAAAAAUAUUCUCCUCGGGAGAAUUGAUUGUACCAUCAGAGUAAGCCCCGGCUAACUACGUG